rnacentral:lncRNA from 1 species
GUUUUCUGCAGGGAUAGCCUCGCAUGUGAUGCCCCACCGCGGGGCCUUCGGCUGUUAAUUAUGACCAAGGAAGAAAGUUUCCACCCAGCGGCCAGCAGGUAGGAGGCCAGCCCGGGCUCCACGGCCCUCAGUAAAUGACCUCGUUGAGGCGGCGUCUCCCUGGAUUGCAAUUACAAUCCUUCAGGCCCGACACAAAAUCAUUGGGCUGGUUUUUGUGGCUGAUUUGGCUAAGUCCAGGUCUCUCGUUCCAAGUUCCUAAUAGAAAUAUCUUUCUGGUUCUGUUCGGCUCGCAUCCCCAUUCAGAACCUCACCGGGUGAGGUUCCUGGAGAUCUUGACUGUGGAAAUGCCCCUGUCUGGAGGUUAAUUCUUUGAGAUAAAGGUGGGCAGUGGGUUUGGCUGGGUUGGAGAAAUGGGAGAGAGGUUAAGGGAAGCACAGGUGAGGCUGGAUCAGCCAGGUUGGGGGCCAGUUCUGUGUGUCUAUGCUUGGCCAGGCUAUAAUAUCCAGUUAUUUAAUCACACACGGAUCUAGGUGUUGCUGGCGAAUCCCUACAGAAGGGAUUCUGUAGAUAUAGAAUUGGUUGCCUUUCAAGUGAAGCAUGUUACCCUUGAUAGUGUAAUGUUAUCCAAUCAACUGAAGGUCUUUGGAGCAAAACCAGAGAUGAUUUCCCAGAGAAGAAAUUCUGCUGCAAGACAGUUGUAUCAACUCAUGCCUGACUUUUCAGUCACUGGAAGAUUCCAACCUGCCGCCUUAUAAGAUUUUGGACAUGCUGGUCUUCACAAUUGUGUGAGCCAAUACCUUAAGAUAAAUCCAUCCAUCCAUCCAUUCACUCACCCAUCCAUCAUCCGUCAACCUACCGAUCCAUCCAUCCAUCCAUCCUGCUGGUUCUGUUUCUCUGGAGAACUUCAACUGAUACAGCUGGUUUCUGGC